rnacentral:rRNA from 1 species
UACGUAGGGGGCAAGCGUUGUCCGGAAUUACUGGGCGUAAAGCGCGCGCAGGCGGCUCUUUAAGUCUGACGGUGAAAUGCCGGGGCUCAACCCCGUGCCCGCCGCGGAUACUGGAGGGCUGGAGACACGUAGAGGCAAGCGGAAUUCCGGGUGUAGCGGUGGAAUGCGUAGAGAUCCGGAAGAACACCGGAGGCGAAGGCGGCUUGCUGGGCGUAGUCUGACGCUGAGGCGCGAAAGCGUGGGGAGCGAACAGG